rnacentral:rRNA from 1 species
AUUGAACGCUGGCGGCAUGCCUUACACAUGCAAGUCGAACGGCAGCGCGGGGCAACCUGGCGGCGAGUGGCGAACGGGUGAGUAACAUAUCGGAACAUACCCUAGAGUGGGGAUAACGUAGCGAAAGUUACGCUAAUACCGCAUACGCACUAAGGUGGAAAGUGGGGGAUCUUCGGACCUCAUGCUCAUGGAGUGGCCGAUAUCUGAUUAGCUAGUUGGUGAGGUAAAGGCUCACCAAGGCGACGAUCAGUAGCUGGUUUGAGAGAACGACCAGCCACACUGGAACUGAGACACGGUCCAGACUCCUACGGGAGGCAGCAGUGGGGAAUUUUGGACAAUGGGGGCAACCCUGAUCCAGCAAUGCCGCGUGAGUGAAGAAGGCCUUCGGGUUGU